AGCAGCCGCGGUAAUUCCAGCUCCAAUAGCGUAUAUUAAAGUUGUUGCAGUUAAAAAGCUCGUAGUUGAAUUUCGGGACUAAUAUGUCGGUCGUACUUUGUACGUACUAGCAUUAUUGGUUUCUCCCUUCUGACGAACCACGAUGUCAUUAAUUUGGUGUCGCGGGAAAUCAGGACUGUUACUUUGAAAAAUUAGAGUGUUUAAAGCAAGCUCGCGCUUGAAUACAUUAGCAUGGAAUAAUGAAAUAGGACGUUUGAUUCUAUUUUGUUGGUUUCUAGGAUCGACGUAAUGAUUAAUAGGGAUAGUUGGGGGCAUUAGUAUUCAAUUGUCAGAGGUGAAAUUCUUGGAUUUAUUGAAGACUAACUACUGCGAAAGCAUUUGCCAAGGAUGUUUUCAUUAAUCAAGAACGAAAGUUAGGGGAUCGAAGACGAUCAGAUACCGUCGUAGUCUUAACCAUAAACUAUGACCGACUAGGGAUCGGAUGAUGUUAAUUUUUAAUGUACUCAUUC
rnacentral:rRNA from 1 species